GAUUGAUAAACCUUUCGAAUUCAUCAUACUGUAAUAUCAUACCAACCGAUAUUGCUUUGAAAUGACUAGUUUGGAAUGUACUUCUACGCCGUAUGAACUUCAAACGGUUCUCGUAAAUAAACACUUUGGAGUUUCAAACACUUUUAGUCGUAGGUAUUAUACAUUUAGUUUCUAAAUCGAUGAUAAUGCGUAUCGAACGGUAAAGAAGUUGGUGACUUUGUAGUAAUAUAUAGUCACCUUGGUUACAUAUCUUUAAGUAUAGCCGUAUAAGCACGCUCAAGACAAUCCCUGACCGC